rnacentral:tRNA from 24 species
GCUCCCUUAGCUCAGCUGGAUAGAGCAACUGCCUUCUAAGCAGUCGGUCGUGUGUUCGAAUCACACAGGGGGCG